GGUGCAUUGGUCUAGCGGUAUGAUUCUCGCUUAGGGUGCGAGAGGUGUAAGUUCAUCCAAUUCACGUAUGCUAUACAUAAGCCAUACUAACAUAACACCAGCCCCGGUUCAAUCCCGGGAUGCGCCC
rnacentral:tRNA from 1 species